GACGUAGGGGGCGAGCGUUAUCCGGAAUUAUUGGGCGUAAAGCGUCCGUAGGUGGUUUGACAAGUCUGGGGUUAAAGCCCGGAGCCCAACUCCGGAUCGGCCCUGGAAACUGUCAGACUUGAGUAAGGUAGGGGUUGCGGGAAUUCCCGGUGUAGCGGUGAAAUGCGUAGAUAUCGGGAAGAACACCAGCGGCGAAAGCGCGCAACUGGGCCAUUACUGACACUGAGGGACGAAAGCUAGGGGAGCGAAUGGG
rnacentral:rRNA from 1 species